rnacentral:rRNA from 1 species
UGCCCUAGUAACGGCGAGUGAAGCGGCAACAGCUCAAAUUUGAAAUCUGGCUCUCGGGCCCGAGUUGUAAUUUGUAGAGGAUACUUUUGAUGCGGUGCCUUCCGAGUUCCCUGGAACGGGACGCCAUAGAGGGUGAGAGCCCCGUCUGGUUGGAUGCCAAAUCUCUGUAAAGUUCCUUCAACGAGUCGAGUAGUUUGGGAAUGCUGCUCUAAAUGGGAGGUAUAUGUCUUCUAAAGCUAAAUACCGGCCAGAGACCGAUAGCGCACAAGUAGAGUGAUCGAAAGAUGAAAAGCACUUUGAAAAGAGAGUUAAAAAGUACGUGAAAUUGUUGAAAGGGAAGCGUUUAUGACCAGACUUGGGCUUGGUUAAUCAUCUGGGGUUCUCCCCAGUGCACUUUUCCAGUCCAGGCCAGCAUCAGUUUUCCCCGGGGGAUAAAGGCGGCGGGAAUGUGGCUCUCUUCGGGGAGUGUUAUAGCCCACCGUGUAAUACCCUGGGGGGGACUGAGGUUCGCGCAUCUGCAAGGAUGCUGGCGUAAUGGUCAUCAACGACCCGUCUUGAAACACGGACCAAGGAGUCGUCUUCGUAUGCGAGUGUUCGGGUGUCAAACCCCUAC